rnacentral:snRNA from 1 species
GGCUAUGAGUGCAGUCUGACUGCGACUUGUCACCCCAUUGAUCACCAGGGUUGAUCUGGCUGAUCUGGCUGGCUACGUGGGUGUCCCCUUCCUCCCACACCACUCCUGUGCGGCCCUCCUGAAGCUGAGCGGAGUGGAAGAGGAUGACUUUCUCCCAUAGAGAAGGACCAUUCUUGGUCAAGGAUAUAUGAGAAGCUUCAGUACCCUGCUAGAACCUCCAAACAAGCUCUUAAGGUCCAUUUCUGGGGCACAUAGGGUAGUCAAACUUCCAAAAAUCCAGACACAUCCGAACAAGUGCUACAUGUAGCAGUCUGCCUUUC